AAGAAUUUACAUUCGUAUUUCCGCCAUUUUCAGUCGUAAUAAAAUCGAAUUUCACUAAAUAUAUACAAAUACAGAUAAUAUAUUUUACUAAACAUGUUAUGUUAAUAAUGUCUUUGAACAGUGAACAGCUGACGAAAAAUUAUAUUUAUAUGUAUAAUAGUGUACCCAUAAAAGAUUAUCUUAUAUUUUCAGGACAAUACUGAACCCCUUUUUUUUUAUUUCGUUAUUUAUUUACCUGGUGACAUGUUUUGUAUUAUAACAUCUUGUACGUUUAUUAAAACAUCAAAAGAUUUCACUUGGUAGUUAUAAAUAACCGAAUAGAUCUUAUCAAUGGUUCUGUACAUCACGUUCAUCAGAUAUUCAACAGUCGUAGAAAAAAUUAUGUACUUACACUUUGAACAGAGGAUUAUCCGUUGCUUUACAUAAUAAAUAAAUAACGAACAUUUAAAAUAUACCUACCUCUAUAUAAGUAUUAAAGUACCAGACAUUUGAGCGUU